UAUUCUGCUGCUGGGUGAAGUCAUCUGUGUAUGUCUGAUUCUCCAAGCUUCCCGUGGCGCCACACCAGCUCCUGUCUUGGCACUUCGUGAGUCCAAGGCUGCUUCCAGAGAGGGUCUGGUUGGUAGACCAUGACAUUGAUUCCUGCCUCUAAGCCUAGCUUUAUUCUCAGCAGCCCCCACCUUUUUGGUGCUAGAAGAGUGCUUUUUCUAGUACACUCAUAAGUGGAUGCUGAAAUCACAACCUGGCCAUUUGGAUGUUCAACUACUGCUUUAUGCUGCGGAGUCCCUGGAACUC